rnacentral:rRNA from 1 species
UACGGAGGGGGCUAGCGUUGUUCGGAAUUACUGGGCGCAAAGCGCACGUAGGCGGCUUUGUAAGUUAGAGGUGAAAGCCCGGGGCUCAACCCCGGAAUUGCCUUUAAGACUGCAUCGCUAGAAUUGUGGAGAGGUGAGUGGAAUUCCGAGUGUAGAGGUGAAAUUCGUAGAUAUUCGGAAGAACACCAGUGGCGAAGGCGACUCACUGGACACAUAUUGACGCUGAGGUGCGAAAGCGUGGGGAGCAAACAGG